AUUGAACGCUGGCGGCAGGCCUAACACAUGCAAGUCGAACGAGUGGCGGACGGGUGAGUAAUGUCUGGGAAACUGCCCGAUGGAGGGGGAUAACUACUGGAAACGGUAGCUAAUACCGCAUACCAUCGGAUGUGCCCAGAUGGGAUUAGCUAGUAGGUGGGGUAACGGCUCACCUAGGCGACGAUCCCUAGCUGGUCUGAGAGGAUGACCAGCAAAGCUGAAACUGAGACAAGGUCCAGGCUCCGACGGUAGGCAGCAGUGGGGAAUAUUGCACAAUGGGCGCAAUCCUGAUGCAGCCAUGUCGCGUGUAUGAAGAAGGCCUGCGGGUUGUAAAGUACUUUCAGCGGGGAGGCGUUACCCGCAGAAGAAGCACCGGCUAACUCCGUGCCAGCAGCCGCGGUAAUAC
rnacentral:rRNA from 1 species